AGGAGAAACAGCCCCAGUGGCGGGGCCAGCUCUGCAGCCCUGGAGUCAGCUCCCGCAGUAACCACAGAGCUCUCCAUAUGCAGGGCCUGGAGGCUCUGGGCGGGG
rnacentral:pre_miRNA from 1 species